GUGGUUUAAUUCGAUGCAACGCGAAGAACCUUACCUACUCUUGACAUCCAGAGAACUUUCCAGAGAUGGAUUGGUGCCUUCGGGAACUCUGAGACAGGUGCUGCAUGGCUGUCGUCAGCUCGUGUUGUGAAAUGUUGGGUUAAGUCCCGCAACGAGCGCAACCCUUAUCCUUGUUUGCCAGCGAGUAAUGUCGGGAACUCCAGGGAGACUGCCGGUGAUAAACCGGAGGAAGGUGGGGACGACGUCAAGUCAUCAUGGCCCUUACGAGUAGGGCUACACACGUGCUACAAUGGCGCAUACAGAGGGCGGCCAACUUGCGAAAGUGAGCGAAUCCCAAAAAGUGCGUCGUAGUCCGGAUUGGAGUCUGCAACUCGACUCCAUGAAGUCGGAAUCGCUAGUAAUCGUGGAUCAGAAUGCCACGGUGAAUACGUUCCCGGGCCUUGUACACACCGCCCGUCACACCAUGGGAGUGGGCUGCAAAAGAAGUAGGUAGUUUAACCUUCGGGGGGACGCUUACCACUUUGUGGUUCAUGACUGGGGUGAAGUCGUAACAAGGUAGCGCUAGGGGAACCUGGCGCUGGAUCACCUCCUUA
rnacentral:rRNA from 1 species